rnacentral:rRNA from 1 species
AUUGAACGCUGGCGGCAUGCCUUACACAUGCAAGUCGAACGGCAGCAUGGAGAGCUUGCUCUCUGAUGGCGAGUGGCGAACGGGUGAGUAAUGCAUCGGAACGUACCGUGUAAUGGGGGAUAACGUAGCGAAAGUUACGCUAAUACCGCAUACGACCUGAGGGUGAAAGCAGGGGAUCGCAAGACCUUGCGUUAUACGAGCGGCCGAUGUCAGAUUAGCUAGUUGGUGAGGUAAAGGCUCACCAAGGCGACGAUCUGUAGCGGGUCUGAGAGGAUGAUCCGCCAUACUGGGACUGGGAACCGGCCCAGACUCCUACGGGAGGCAGCAGUGGGGAAUUUUGGACAAUGGGGGCAACCCUGAUCCAGCCAUGCCGCGUGAGUGAAGAAGGCCUUCGGGUUGUAAAGCUCUUUCGGCCGGGAAGAAAUCGCACAGGCUAAUACUCUGUGUGGAUGACGGUACCGGCAUAAGAAGCACCGGCUAACUACGUGCCAGCCGCCGCCGUAA